rnacentral:lncRNA from 1 species
GAGGAGGCAAACCCUACUCCAUCAAUUGAACUCAAAAUUCAGCAAUUAGUAGUGAUUUUAAACACAAUUCGCAUGCAUGUUCUUAAUUACUCCAUAAUCCAAGUAUCUUGAACAUAAGGAUUGAAAGAAGAAGGAGCUAGUUUCGGUUCGCAACAAAAGACUCAAGAAUGAGGUAAAUCCACAGUUUAGACUUUAUGGCGAAUUUGGAACGAACACACAUGUUACACCUACCUCGUGCUUCCGGAGUU